UGGGGAAUUUUGGACAAUGGGCGAAAGCCUGAUCCAGCAAUACCGCGUGUGUGAAGAAGGCCUUCGGGUUGUAAAGCACUUUUGUCCGGAAAGAAAUCCUUGGCUCUAAUACAGUCGGGGGAUGACGGUACCGGAAGAAUAAGCACCGGCUAACUACGUGCCAGCAGCCGCGGUAAUACGUAGGGUGCAAGCGUUAAUCGGAAUUACUGGGCGUAAAGCGUGCGCAGGCGGUUUGCUAAGACCGAUGUGAAAUCCCCGGGCUCAACCUGGGAACUGCAUUGGUGACUGGCAGGCUAGAGUAUGGCAGAGGGGGGUAGAAUUCCACGUGUAGCAGUGAAAUGCGUAGAGAUGUGGAGGAAUACCGAUGGCGAAGGCAGCCCCCUGGGCCAAUACUGACGCUCAUGCACGAAAGCGUGGGGAGCAAACAGGAUUAGAUACCCUGGUAGUCCACGCCCUAAACGAUGUCAACUAGUUGUUGGGGAUUCAUUUCCUUAGUAACGUAGCUAACGCGUGAAGUUGACCGCCUGGGGAGUACGGUCGCAAGAUUAAAACUCAAAUGAAUUGACGGGGUCAUA
rnacentral:rRNA from 1 species